AUUGAACGCUGGCGGCAGGCCUAACACAUGCAAGUCGGACGGUAGCACAGGGGAGCUUGCUCCUCGGGUGACGAGUGGCGGACGGGUGAGUAAUGUCUGGGGAUCAGCCCGAUAGAGGGGGAUAAUCACUGGAAACGGUGGCUAAUACCGCAUAAUGUCGCAAGACCAAAGAGGGGGACCUUCGGGCCUCUCACUAUCGGAUGAACCCAGAUGGGAUUAGCUAGUAGGCGGGGUAACGGCCCACCUAGGCGACGAUCCCUAGCUGGUCUGUGCGGAUGACCAGUCAGACCGGAACUGAGACACGGCCCCGACUCCCACGGGAGUCAGCCGAGGGGAAGCUUGCACAAGGGGCGCAAGCCUGAUGCAGCGGUGCCGGGUGUAUGAAGAAGGCCUGCGGGUUGUAAAGUAGUUGCAGCGGGUAGGAAGGCGGUGUGCUUAAUAGGCGCGUCGAUUGACUUUAGCCGCAGAAGAAGCUCCUGCUAACUCCGUGCCAGCGGCCGCAGUAA
rnacentral:rRNA from 1 species